rnacentral:lncRNA from 1 species
UGCCGCUCCCGGCGCCCGCUGUCAAGGGAACGGGCGUGACAGGGGACGGGGCGGGGCUCAGCGGGGCGCCGCGCACUGCAAAGGCACGGUCCUCCGUCACGUCGAGCUUGGAGUUUGAACCUAGAGGACCUGCGAUGGUGGCACAUGACUGCCAGUGGAAACGCCUGACGCAGGAGAACGUGGUCGGGCAGCGCCGCGCACUACGACUCCCAGCAUGCCCCGCGUGGGCGGGCCUCAGCGCGCCGGCGCCGUCCAGUCGCGCGGGGGCCGACGGGAGGUGCGGUGGCCGGGGUGGGGAAGGAACGGGGCCGCCGGGAGAUGUGUCUUCCCGGGCCGCUGGGGAGUAGAGUUCGCCGACGCCGCUGUGGCCCGUGGCAGCUUUGGGUCUGCGCCGUGAGGGAGGUGUGUGCAGACUUCGCCGCGGCCUCCUCGGCGUGUGGCCCGGUCCCGCGCUCAGCCCCGCGCACCUCCGGGUCGGGUCCCCUUGGUCCCCGCGGCCGCAGCACCUCGUGCUAGGAGCGGACGUGCGCUGGGGGACCGACCGGCCCGCUAGGGUGGGAGGAAACAACUUCUCUGGCUAUGCCCCGCGGUGGAGGGAACCUAGACGGCCGCCACGUCCACGUGCUGCAAAGAACCCGUCUGCGUCACGGGGUCGCUGCAGCACGCGGGGCCCGGAGAGGAAUUCCCGCAGCAAAGCCGGUGGCCGGGCACUCGGGGACAGACGGGUGGAAGAAAGGGACGUGCUGGGGGGCGGGGGGAGCGUCGCUGUGCUUUCCACUCCGCGUGGACCUAAAUCCACGAGCCACCAGGAUAGAAGGACGUGUUGAGGCCACUCCCGUGCAGGGGCAGCCCAGACCCUGGAAGCCCCGUGGACAGAACUGGCGCCCAGGUGGCCGAGCCCAGCGUCCGGAGACCUCCGGCCGUCGGCUGGAACUCUCAGGGGACUGCCCGCCCAGGGUGGGCUUUGGCCGUGGAAGCCCCGGAGGGGCACUUAAGCAGUUCGAAAAACGUGCCAAAUUCACCUCUAUGUCAGAUUCUUUUUAUUCACAAGAUUUAUUUUGAAAUCGUACACUUAUUAAGGGGAGGCUUGUGAUUUGUUUCCUAAGGUGCCGGUUGACUGUCAGCCCAGGGAAGAUUUCCCAUGUAUUUAGCUGUGCACCGGCCAUCCCGACAGUCUUCACCAACUCCCACUUUGCCGGCCUGAGAACCCUCCCACGGGCAGGCUAGCACCGGUAAGACCGGCCCUCCACGGCUGAAUACACCCCUCUUACCAGGAAGCCUUUUGGAAUCCUGGGCACAAACUUCCAGUUAGCAGGACAGCAUAGGAGGAUGUCCGGUCACGCCCCUGUGGGACUAUGGCUGCCGGUUCACCACAGGGCUUAGUGGGAAUCCUGAACUGGAUGGGUUCCAGUUUGCAGGCUACAUCGUUAAGAAAUCUCUGCUCAUUGAAGUCAUUUACCAUUGGAUUCAACUUUUUCUCUUCUCAUUAUUGCUCCAAAGAUCUUGUAGGUAUAGUCUCAAGGUCUAUAAGAAUUUACGUAACUCAUAUUCUAAGAGUUACAUGAAACAUCUUGGAAUUAACCCCCAUUACUAUUUUAGGGCUUUGCAGGAAUAAUGAGUCAGAGUCCUCCUGAAUUAUCUACCUCUCAUCAAAUAGUGCACUGUUUAAGUGGUUUGUGCUUUGGUAAUAUUAAUACCUUUCUUCUAGAAGUGCAAAGAACUUUAUAAAUACCAUCACACACCGCUCAGAACAACUUUAUAACUUUUGUUAUAAAAAUGAAAUGAAAACUCUGUUACUAACAGCUAAACCGUAGGGGAAAGUUGCCCAAUGUAACAUUCUGUUCAUUUUUGUUGUUCCCAAAGCCACCAUAAAAUGACAUCCCAAUGAUCAAGGCAAUAGUUUUAAAUGUGAUUGACAUCUAUUGUUUAACAUGUGACAGGGAGCUAAUGUUCAUUCUCUUUGCUCUUUUCAGAUUGAUUAAUGCAACACAGGUCUCAAAAUAUAUUCAUUAUCUGUAUAUACACACACAUAUAUACGUAUCAUUGAAGUAUAUAUACACAGACAUAUUUAUAUGCUUUUGAGCUUAUUUCUCUAGCUAAUUUUCAUGAGACUAAAACGUAUGGAAUCCUUGAUUUAUUUCAACUUGUUCAAGUCACUAACAGUAUUCACUUUUGGGUAGAUUAUCUUUUAUGGGUUUGGCUACAUUUUAAGAAAAAAUUUCUAGUAUAGUGGUAUCAGUAUACACCCAUCUUCUUCCCUACAGUUAAACAAGUUUUACCAUAGAAGUGCUCUGUAAUUAUGAAUUUAUGAACAAUUCUCUGAGUAAUUCCUUUCAAGGUACGUACUUCCAAUAAAUAUUAAGCAGUUGCAAAGUAUGUUGGUAAAAGUAACUUGGGGCUGAACCACUGAGUCCAAGUUCUACUUCCCCUGUGUGAUCUUGGCAGCUUGCUUCACCUCUCUGUACCUGUUUCACGUUGUAAAAUGAGGAUAAUCACAAUGCCUACAUCCUAGGUUUACAAGGAUUAAAUGAAUCACCACACAUGAAGGACUUGGAGUAUGCCUGGCCCAGCACUGUUACCUUAUUAUUGUGUUGAAUCUUAAAUUUUUGCUGUGUACUUGGCACCUGGAAGCUUCUGGUGACUAGUGAUAAGACAGGGUUCCUUCCCUUAAAGGCCUACAUUCAAGGCUGAAAAAAUGGAAUACCAACCCCACAGUUAUUUUAUUUGAAUUGUGAACAUUAGGAACAGAAGUCUAGGGUGGCAAGAGAAUGUUCAGGGGGAAAUGAGCAGAGAUUUGGAGACAUCACCUUUGGAAAGUGACAGGAAAUGUGUUCUGAAUUAUUCAUGGACAUCCCAGGCAAAGGAACCUGUAUGAGGACCACAAAGUCCUGUGGGCCCUGGGAAUAAGGUGAGGAGGGAAUACCAGGAGUUAAGGCUGAGAAGUCGAGCUCAGCAGAUGAUCAGAAGCCAUAUUAAGAAUUUGUGUCUUUAUCAUUAGAAAAUAGGAAACCGUGGCAGGGUUUACACAAUGGAGUCAUAUGAGCAAUCUUUGAAAGGUCUCUUGGCUACCAUGUGGAGAUCAGAUUAGCGUAAGAGAGCUGUUGGCAACGCUGCUGUAGUUUAGAAGAGGACAGUGUUGGAGAAGUUGGUGGCUGGCACUAAGGCAGAUACAGUGGAGAUAGAUAAACAUUUGGGUGGAUUUGGGAGAUCUUUCAAUGGUGGAAUCAAUGACCAAUCAGUUAUUGAUUAGUUAUAGGGGGGAAGGGAAAGUGAGACGGUGGGGCUCCCUUCCUCUGGCUUGUGCAGGUGGGCAGAUGAUGGUGUCAUCCACAGGACAAGAUUCUGAUAUUGGAUGCAGCAGAGGGAAGAUAGGGAGGCUAACUAGAUGAAAGCUAGCAGACAUUCCUGAGAAAUGUUGCAUAAGUGACUGGAUGUUCUGGCUGGAGUUCAGAGCAAGGAACAGUUCUGGGCUGAAAACUAAAACUUCAUGCUUGGCACUUGAUGUCCUGGGCCAUAGUGUGGAUGAAUGCCAUCAUCUAAGACAGAAAUGAAGAGACUUUUCAACUGCAACUAUUGUAUAUUGCAUUAACUCCCAGCAGCUCAAGAGGCAGAGGCAGGAGAAUCACAGGCUGAAAGCCAGCCUCGGCACCUCAGCAAGGACCUUAGAAGCUCAGCAAAAUCCUGUCUCUAAAUAAAAUAUGAAAAGGGCUGGGGACAUGACACCCCUGGUUCAAUUACCAUAUGUAUCUAUAUAUCUCUCAUUAAGUAGAAUAAGUCAGCCCUUUUGGCUUCCUCUGGGGAUGCCUCCUGUAUUGCAGAGGUCAGCUGCUUUGUAGCUGGGAUCUUAUUCAUGAAAUAGAUCCAACGGUGAGAUACCCUUGUGUGAGAUUUGGAAUUAGAAUGCUCUGGAGGCCAUUGUUCUGUCCCUCCCAGCUAUUUUCCUGCACAGAGCACAGAGACAUGAGGUUUUCUUAGCAACAUUCCAGUGCUCACUUACCAGCUUCCUGGAUACCAAGAGCAAUUAACUGGUGCAAGUUCAACAGAAGCUGUAACACCAGAAGCAAACAGUGGCCCCAGUGUCCUGACUUCUGGAUCAAAGGUACGGGUGUGUCUUCAAGUCACCAGUUCCAGGGCAGCCUCCUCGGGUGGGAGCCCUGAUGAGACUGUUCAGUCUUGUCCUGAGAGCCAUUCCUGGGGAACCCACUCUGGGUCCUAUCCCUCCAGGCCUCCCAACAAUUUUGUGAGCACUUGUCACUCAUCCUGCUUGUCAUAUCUGGACGGUCAAGAGCGAGUUGUCAAGAGGCCAGGAGAAGACUAGGAAGGAGCUCGCCAGAGCAGAAACCUGCCCACUUGUCCCAUAAGGCCACACCUGGAAAACACUCACCUGCAGAAUGGGGGUGACGAAUGAACACAGUACACACCUGCAGCAGACCCACACAACACUGAUAAGGAGCCAGAAUGUGCGCAAGGCCAGCAAGAGCACGGUGAUUCUGUGCCCCAGAGUUACAUAGGCUCAUUGCAGCAUAUUAUCAGGCGUCUACAAGAAACAAAGUUCCGUAGAGAAGGCUGAUGGAAGUGUCACCCUGUAAAACCAAAGCUGGAAGACACUUGUCCUGAGGACUUGACCUUGAAUGUGUAGGUGAAGUAAAAACUGUAAGAUCAGCCAUCUUUAUUGGUGAAAAAGUCAUUUGAAGAACAUGCGUUCCCCUGUUAACCUUUUCUACUGUGGAAGCAGUGUGUGCUUAUUGUGACAAUGACACACCCAAAGGCAUAAACACAACUUCCUCCUACAUCUGCCAGUUCCCACUCCCCCUGAGGUAGCCAGUGUUAACUACCGGGGGAUGUGUCACACCCCAGCCUUACCCACACCUGUAAAAAUAUAGUUUAUUGCUGUUGCCACCAUUGUCUACACAUGCAGUUCUAGCUCGUGUGGUGGGAGUGCCUUGUUCACCUGAUGGUGCAUUAGACUAUCUGACCAGGUCAGCUGGUGUAGAUCCAGCUUAGUCUUUUAAUAGCACAGUACGUAGAACAGAUUGCCUUACCGUGGAGUCAUUUGUCCCCAUUGAUAAAUGUGUAAAUUGAUGUGUACUUUUAUCACCACAGUGAGCGCUGAGUAAAGAUACUUAUAAUGUAUCUUAGCCUAGGAUGCUUCAAUUUCCAGGAAAGGUUCCAGUAGGACCACAGGAUCAGGAACAGUUCUGUUUCACUAGACUACACUCUUGUUUACCUAAAAGGGUGUACCAUCACACCAACAGGAAAGUGCCAGGGUCCAGCGCCCAUCCACACCAAGCGCCAGCUCUCACUCUUUUAAACACCUAGGGGCGUUAUAGAUGUCCUUGAGUGGUUUAGGCCUGUAGUCUUGCCCUCUGAAAAUGUAGGCAUCUCCCCAUUUCCACUGAAUGCACCCUGCUCCUUCCAUUGCCAUUCUAUAAAUUGCAAAGAUUAAGCAACCAGAGACUCUGCAGCUGACAUGACCAUUGUUCUUAAAGGCAACUCAACCAGAAGAUGCCUGUGAACACCACCUCCUCAUUUGGCACCUCACCUGGCAGCUCCCAGUUUCUGCCUAGGUUUCUUUGCACUGCCGCAAGGACACCUAGAGUAGAUGUGCAUGUGCAUCAGCAGAGGGUCAUCCUAGCCCAUCACUUUUCCCCUGUCAUGGUGCAGUUAACUCUAAGGUAAUGGAUAGAAAGGCAACAGUGUAGCCUAUAUCUUGUAUUGUAAAUGAUACAAAAUGUUUGAAAUGCUUAGGGCAGUGCUUCCCACGUAGUAGGCUUCCCCCCCCCCCCGUACUGGAAAUUGAUUCCAGGGAUACUUCACCACUGAGCCACAUCCAAAACCCUUUUUAUUUUUUAUUUUGAGACAGGGUCUCUCCAAGUUGCUUAGGGCCUCCCUACAUUCCUAAGGCUGGCUUUGCGCUUUGGGUCCUCCUGCCUCAGCCUCCCAAGCUGCUGGGAUUACAGGGGUGCAUCACCAUGCUAAACUAGUUAGUUUUUAAUAAAUGAUUGAUCUAUGUUUCACAAGAUUUAAUUUCUAUUUGAAAGAUAAUUUGUCAGACAAUCCUUUAACCAGACAUUGGUAAAAAUAAUUGGUUUCUUCAUGUCUUUUGAAAUAUAAUUUACUAAUCAUUUAAAU